rnacentral:rRNA from 1 species
UACGUAGGGUGCAAGCGUUGUCCGGAAUUAUUGGGCGUAAAGGGCUCGUAGGCGGCGUGUCGCGUCGGGAGUGAAAGCCCGUUGCUUAACGGCGGGUUGGCUUUCGGUACGGGCAUGCUGGAGUGCGGCAGGGGAGACUGGAAUUCCUGGUGUAGCGGUGGAAUGCGCAGAUAUCAGGAGGAACACUGGUGGCGAAGGCGGGUCUCUGGGCCGUUACUGACGCUGAGGAGCGAAAGCGUGGGGAGCGAACAGG